GUCUAGAAAAUUGGGCAAUGGGCGAAAGCCUGACCCAGCGACACCAUGUGUAGGAUGAAGUCCUUCGGGAUGUAAACUACUGUCAGAGGGAACGAUGCCUUGCGCUCUAACUAAGCGUAAGGUGACGGUACUCUCAGAGGAAGCCCCGGCUAACUACGUGCCAGCAGCCGCGGUAAGACGUAGGGGGCAAGCGUUGUCCGGAUUUACUGGGUGUAAAGGGUGUGUAGGCCGUCUGGAAAGUCGGGGGUGAAAGCCUUUGUCUUAAACAAAGAAUAGCUUCCGAUACUUCUUGACUUGAGGGCAGGAGAGGAAGAUGGAACUUCUGGUGUAGCGGUAGAAUGCGUAGAUAUCAGAAGGAACACCGAUAGCGAAGGCAGUCUUCUGGAAUGUUCCUGACGCUGAAACACGAAAGCUGGGGUAGCAAACAGGAUUAGAAACCCGGGUAGUCC
rnacentral:rRNA from 1 species